CCUACGGGUGGCAGCAGUGGGGGAUAUUGCACAAUGGGGGAAACUCUGAUGCAGCGACGCCGCGUGGGUGAAGAAGUAUUUCGGUAUGUAAAGCCCUAUCAGCAGGGAAGAAGAAAUGACGGUACCUGAGUAAUAAGCACCGGCUAAAUACGUGCCAGCAGCCGCGGUAAUACGUAGGGUGCAAGCGUUAUCCGGAUUUACUGGGUGUAAAGGGCGCUCAGGCGGCACGGCAAGCCUGAUGUGAAAGCCCGCGGCACAACCGCGGGACUGCAUUGGAAACUAUCUGUCUGGAGUGCCGGAGAGGUAGGCGGAAUUCCUAGUGUAGCGGUGAAAUGCGUAGAUAUUAGGAAGAACACCAGUGGCGAAGGCGGCCUACUGGACGGUGACUGACGCUGAGGCUCGAAAGCGUGGGGAGCAAACAGGAUUAGAUACCCGUGUAGUC
rnacentral:rRNA from 1 species